GAAGAGCGGAGCGUGUGAGCAGUACUGCGGCCUCCUCUCCUAACCUCGCUCUCGCGGCCUACCUUUACCCGCCCGCCUGCUCGGCGCCCAGAACACCUUCCACCAUGACCACCUCAGCAAGUUCCCACUUAAAUAAAGGCAUCAAGCAGGUGUACAUGUCCCUGCCUCAGGGUGAGAAAGUCCAGGCCAUGUAUAUCUGGAUCGAUGGUACUGGAGAAGGCCUGCGCUGCAAGACCCGGACUCUGGACAGUGAGCCCAAGUGUGUGGAAGAGUUGCCUGAGUGGAAUUUCGAUGGCUCUAGUACUUUACAGUCUGAGGGUUCCAACAGUGACAUGUAUCUCGUGCCUGCUGCCAUGUUUCGGGACCCCUUCCGUAAGGACCCUAACAAGCUGGUGUUAUGUGAAGUUUUCAAGUACAAUCGAAGGCCUGCAGGUGUGUAUAGCACAGCUAUGGAUGCCCCUCCUCAAUCUGUGAAUGCUGUGAAGGGGAGGGAGAAGACAUUCUGAAAUCAGCAUUGGGAAGACUAGGCAAUUUCAGCACUAUUUUAAGAAUCUGAGUGAUUCUUUUCCCUGAACUUCUGCUUUGAGGAAGAGAUAAUAUGGCCCAUCUUUCUAUGGUCUUCUCUGUUGGUUGCAUAAAAUAGCAUUGGAUUUGUCCAGAUCUGUUUGCCAGUCUUGGAGUCCCCAGUAACAGCCUUCCUGCCUGGAAUGUAGGCCAGGACAAAUGUAAACCAAUGGACAAAUGUUUCUCAAAAAUUAUAGAAUGGCUCCAAGUGCCUGAGAAAUGA
rnacentral:sRNA from 1 species